GAGAAAGGGCAGAUAAACUGGACUAGAGUUAAACUUCUCCUUUUGUCCAUAGGGCAAAAAAUAAAUAUAUUUAAAUAAUAAACAAAAUUCCAAUGUUCUUUUAUUUUCUUAUUUUUGUAUUUUUAGUGGAAUACCAACUUCAUGUACAUCUGGCUUAUUCAGCACCCAUAAAAUUCAAUGGACCACCAUCCAGACAAAAGGAUAAAAACAGAACACAUCAAGAUAAUGAAUUUUCUUCAAACUAUUCAGGUACAAUGAAAAAUGGAAGUAUUAUCUCAGAAAUUACAACUGAGAGGGAUGAAGAUAUAGCAUAUGCUAUACCUAAAAGAUACAUCAAACAGGAUAUUGGGAAUAUGAAUUGAUGAAAUUUAAUUUACGAUUGUCCUAUAAUGCCUUUUCAUUACAGCACCACACAAAUUGAGGCAAUAAAUGCAUAUUUGAUCAAAAAAGUAUGGCCACUCGUCUUUUAACCAGAUAGAUUGCAAAUGUCAU
rnacentral:lncRNA from 1 species